rnacentral:rRNA from 1 species
AUGGCAGAAGCGUUAGCCCUGAAAUUUGGCUUAACUUUGGCACAAAGGGCGGGGUGUAAUCGUCUAAUCAUCAACUCAGACAAUAUGGAGGUGAUUGAGACCAUGCAGGAUGGAGGACAAUCAGCGGGUGCGGCGGCGGCCAUAUUUGAUGAUUGUUUUCACUAUGCAUGUGAUUUUGCCGUGACUAGAUUCGAACAUUGUAAUAGAAAGGCAAACAAAGUAGCUCAUGAACUUGCUAGAUUAGCUAGAUUUUCUGUGACUUUGGAUUGGUUUGAAGAGCCUAUCAAUGAAAUUGUAAUGAUCCUCACAAACGAUGUACUGAUUAUUUCAAAUGAAUAA